rnacentral:lncRNA from 1 species
CCAACAGACAAAAAGAGCUGUGAAUGGAUCAGUGGUUUACCAAUCAGAGCCUUGAUGUGCUUGGCAACAGUAACAAGGCGUGAUAUGUAAUAACAUUCUCCCCCCCAAAAAUGCCUCUUUGGGACUAUCUGGCAACAUCUUGACAACUGACACAGAAAUAUUUUAGCGAUGUUCCCAUAAAGCAUGUCUAGAACAUUAUUAUCUUACAUUCUGAGAACAUGGCAACCAUGUUCUUUUUAUGUUUGGUGGAACGUUGAUGGAAUAUUCUCCUAACCAUCAGAAAACUGGACACUAAUGUUCUUCCAACAUCCCAUAAAACACAUCUAGAACAUUAAUGUGGUAUAUUGAGAACAUUGUAAGUUCUAGAUACGUUCUGUUUGACAUUAAGGGUAUCACGUUUGAGGUAUGACCCAGAAGCAGACAGAGUUGAAGAAACAAAAGUAUAUUCCUAACAGGGGCAGGCAAACGACAGGUCAAGGCAGGCAGGGGUCAAUAAUCUAGAGAACGUAUAAAGGCUCCAGAACGGCAGGCAGUCUCAGGGUCAGGGCAGGCAGAACGGUCAAAACCGGGAAGGACUAGAAAACAGGAGCAAACGACAGGUCAAGGCAGGCAGGGGUCAAUAAUCCAGAGAAUGAAUAAAGGAUCCAGAACGGCAGGCAGUCUCAGGGUCAGGGCAGGCAGAACGGUCAAAACCGGGAAGAACUAGAAAACAGGAGCAGGAAAACAGGAAGGAGCAGGGAAACAAACGCUGGUAGGUUUGACGAACAAAACAAAAUGGCAACAGACAGAGAACACAGGUAUAAAUACACAGGGGAUAAUGGGGAAGAUGGGCGACACCUGGAGGGAGGUGGAGACAAUCAACAAAGACAGGCGAAACAGAUCAAGGUGUGACAAAGGGAAUGUUCUCCGAACUUUAACACCAAAACAUGCUAAAAGGGUUAUCAGAAGGUUUUUUCUACAUAAAAUAAAUAAAGAUAGAUACAAUUUUCCCCUAAUUAACAGAAAACUGGACACUCAAACAUUAGGGGAACAUUACAGGUAAAAUUACAUAAACAUUCUCUCUCCUUAGA